AUGCUUCUUACUUACUUAUUACCACAGACAGAUGAGAUUAUCCAGAGACUGGAAAAAAUCCUGACAGUACCUGGAACUGUAGCUGAGAAGCAGCUAUUCAUAACAGAGUGGUUGCAAGACAACAGCAACAUGUGUUGUUACCAAGCGGAAUCUAUGCUUCUAACCACCACACCUUCAAAGGAAAAGAAAGGAGCUGCAAGGAAGACAGCUGAUGAAACAGAAAGCGCUGCAGGAAAGACAGCUGAUGAAACAGAAAGCACAGAAGAGGUAAAACCAUUUGUAAACUCCCCCCCAAACCGUUUCCCACAAAAAUGUAUUUAACUCAGGACAGCUAUCUUGUCAAACUUGGCAAUCUGUAAUAUAUUAAUAAGUGUGUAUGUGUUGCAGCCAGAGAGACAGACACUAUUUCUAUUCUGGUGAAAGUACUAGUUAAUGCAAUCUACGUAUUAACUCCAGCAACAAAUUUCGGGUGGUGGUGGCCUGGGAUGGUAUCAAAUUCCCGGUCUGAAUUAUUGUCCCAGUCCACCCCUGGUCCCACUGCAUGUCAAAGUAUCUUUGGGCAAGAUACUGAACCCCCAAUUGCUCCGGAUGCUGCGUCAUCGGUGUGUGAAUGUGAAUGUGAAUGAAUAAUGAGUUAGUUUCUGUCUGUUCCUGUCUGGCUUUGCUAUCACUGUGAAUGUGUGUGAAUGUGUGUGAAUGUGGCACGUAGUGUAAAAGUGCUUUGCGCGGUCAAAAGACUAGAAAGGCGCUAUACAAGUACAGGUUCAUUUACCAUUUACCAUAUACUGCCAAUGAUACACGUGUAUUUUUCACAUCUAGAUGAGAAAAAAUUUGACACUUAGAUGGUAUCCUCUAGUGGAGCGGCAUGUCUAUUGCAGACUUGGAAUUGAAAUCCACACAAAUGUCUCUGAAUGACACCCAUGAGAAACGUGUGCCAUCAAUCAAUGACACUAAAGAUGGUGUCCUAUUGGGGUUGUUGACAGAUUCUGGAUGCUCUUUUGUGCCGUGUUGGACAGUUGGACAAUAUUUUUAAGUUGCCUUCUUGACUUUCUUCAAAAACAGAAUUUAAUCUAAUUGAGACUUUAGUAGUAUUGAAUGAAAGAUUAAGGUAUUUUGAUUUAGAUAAGGUUUCCUACCAAUGGUGACAAAAACAUGAGAUCAGGUUGAACACUCGCAUUGUCUGCAUCCUAUUUCACCCUGAUGGGUGUAAUUUCUAUGCAGCUUCAGCACUUGUUCAUCACCAUUGGGGAAUAAGUUUGGGUGAUGAAACAAACUCAGUUAAUAACAUUCCCAUUCAGCAGCAAACUAAAUGACUGUAUUCACAAUCCAAUUAUUAUGAUCCUCAGUGUGGUGAGGCCUCUUCCUCCCUCUCAGUUUGAUGGCAUUUGUCACGCCAUCAACCCCAAUAAAGAACAGGCACACGGAGUGUCAACAAUGAGACAGACCCUUCAUUCACAUCUGAGGAGACAGACAAAUGACCAGCAAGUGGCCAGCUCUCUGAGGGCCAUUGAUGGUUCUUUAGCGUUUGUUUUUCAAUAAAACUCUACUCUAUGGUAUCGUACCAGGAGGUAUUUAAAUUUCUUCCAGCACCAAAUGAGUUCACUCUCUCUUUUCUCCAGGCUGCAGCAGCACAGUAAUGAAGGAGGUUAACAAAUGCAUCUGUGGCUUGAUGUCAAUGGUAGAACAUUUGGUUUAUGACUGAGGGUUUAGAUUAUUGUUUGCGGGGAGAGAGAGAGUAGAGACAGCAGACACAACUCAGUCCAAUACAACACCUCCUCCAAAUUAAUGAACUCCUCGCUGACACGGUCUUAUCAAAGACUGAACAUUACAAACUUCAAAAAGAUAAGAUUUACUGCCUGUUCAGCCUGGCUGCAGAGAUUUACUCCCAUUCAGUCCAUGAGCCUCAGUGAGGUCCAAUUCUGAUGUUGGGUGAUACGGUCUGGCUCCAGUUUGUCCCAAACAAACAUGGUGAUUCAAUGUGGAGGACUCUGUAGAAGAGGACCUGCUCCCUCUGCUGAUAAAAACGGCUCAACCCCGAAAUUCCACCAGGCACAGGCACUUUGGCUCUGUGAUCCGCAUGUCAUCAAAUACCAAGAGAGCAUUUCAGAAGCGAAGAAUCUUUAGCCCAUGUUGCCUGACUGAUGUUGUUUACUUGUGUAUUUGGCAAUCUAGCAGGUCCAUAGCAGGAGGCUCCACCAGGAUCUAUGAGAACCUGCGAGACGAAAAAGCACAAGAACUCCGGGGAAGAAGUGAAGUUAGUAAUAUGCAUUAGUGGGACAUGAAUGAGUGCAGAAAGAGAGAGGAAGGGAGGAGCUCAGUGCACCAUNNNNNNNNNNNNNNNNNNNNNNNNNNNNNNNNNNNNNNNNNNNNNNNNNNNNNNNNNNNNNNNNNNNNNNNNNNNNNNNNNNNNNNNNNNNNNNNNNNNNUUUAACAGGCAGUUUUUCCUUGCCCUUGUCGCCAAGUGCUUGCUCAUGGUGGUACUGUUGGGUCUCUGUAAUUAAUGUUAAAGAGUUCGGUCUAGACCUGCUCUAUUUGAAAAGUGUCCUGAGAUAACUUCUGUUAUGAAUCGGCGCUAUACAAAUAAAAUUGAAUUGAAUUGAAUUGAAAUAUAUAAACAAACAUACACACACACAUAUAAACACACAUACAUACACACACAGUCUGUCAUCCUGGGCCUCGGC
rnacentral:lncRNA from 15 species